rnacentral:rRNA from 1 species
UACGGAGGGGGCUAGCGUUGUUCGGAAUUACUGGGCGUAAAGCGUGCGCAGGCGGUUCGUUGUGUCGGCGGUGAAAGCCCCGGGCUUAACCUGGGAAUGGCCGUUGAAACUGGCGAACUGGAGUGUGGCAGAGGGGGGUGGAAUUCCGCGUGUAGCAGUGAAAUGCGUAGAGAUGUGGAGGAACACCGAUGGCGAAGGCAGCCCCCUGGGCUGAGAUUGACGCUCAGGCACGAAAGCGUGGGGAGCAAACAGG